GAUCUCUUAGUGUUGAUAAAAGAGGCCUUUCCCUUUGCUCAGAUACCAGAGUCUUUCAAUAAGGCUAGAAAUGUGAUAAGAGAUUUGGGUCUUGAUUAUGAAAAAAUACAUGCAUGUCCUAAUGAUUGCAUGUUAUUCUGGAAGGAAAAUGAGAAAGUUGAGAUUUGCUCUGUAUGUGGGACUUCUAGAUGGAAGAGUGUUGGUGGUGCCUCAACCAAUGCAAGCUCUAAAAUUCCUGCAAAGGUUUUAAGAUACUUUCCCUUAAAGCCUAGGCUUCAGAGGAUGUUCAUGUGUCCUGAAACAGCUGUUGCAAUUAAAUGGCAUGCUAAUGAACGACCGAAUGACGGAAAUCUAAGGCAUCUUGCUGAUGGCCAAGCAUGGAAGGAUUUUGAUCGUUUGUAUCCCAACUUCUCUAGAGAUCCUCGUAAUGUUAGGUUAGGUCUCUCGAGUGAUGGUUUCAAUCCAUUUCGAACCAUCAGUAUUUCUCGUAGCACAUGGCCUGUUAUGCUGAUGAACUAUAAUUUAUCACCAUGGAUUUGCAUAAAGUCGGAGUAUCUUAUGUUUGUCAAUUAUCAUUCCAGGCCCAUCUUCUCCUGGAAAUGAUAUUGAUGUAUAUUUGCAACCACUACUUGAUGAAUUAAAUGAACUAUGGGAAUCUUAAAUAGAUACUUAUGAUGCUGAAACCAAAUAAACAUUCAAAAUACGUGCAACCUUAAUGUGGACAGUUAGUGAUUUCCAGAAUUACCAAUGCUUUCAGGAUGGAGCACUAAGGGAAAAUUGGCAUGCCCUACUUGAAAUCGUAACACAUGCUCUCAAUAUCUCAAACAUAGUCGAAAGAUGUGUUAUUUGGGUCAUCGAAGAUUUUUUCCACUUGAUCAUCCAUUGCGAAAAGAUAGGAAGUCAUUUGAUGGUAAGGAGGAACAUAGACCUGCACCCAUUCCUUUGUUGGGUAUAGAAGUUCUUGAAGAGUUGUGCGAAUUCAACAAUAUUUUUGGAAAGGGCAAAAAGAAAAGGAAGGGUCCUUGGAAGAAAAGAUCUAUUUUUUUGAAUUGUCAUAUUGACCAGAUAACAAAUUGAGGCACAAUCUUGAUCCAAUGCACAUAGAAAAGAAUAUAUGUGAUAGUUUGCUUGGGACUUUAUUGGAGAUAGAUGGAAAGUCAAAGGAUCAUGUAAAUUUUCGAUAUGACUUACAAGAAAUAGGAAUACGGGAGGAGCUACAACCGGUAGAAGAUAGUAACGGAAAUGCUUUUCAUCACGUUACAGGGACUCCGUUAGGCAAAUCACACCUGGAUUGCCUCUUUUCUUGCUGCUAGCUUUGGUUGGCUCAAACAUUGAUCCAUCUACUUGGGAGGACAAGAAGCACCCUGGUGAAUUUUGCUUUUCUGCUCAGAGACUUAAAAAAUCAUGAAUCAACAAGGGUAUUCGAGAAAUCAUCAGAAAGCUAAAAACUUUCUUUCAGCUGGAUCACUAGCAGCUCUACAAAACAAACAAAUACUAUAACACAAGAAGAAGAAGAAGAACACAGGCUGCAUAAAUGCAAAGGAAAAGAAUCAAAAGUAGAAGGAGAAGUCAAACAACGUUCCACCUAUAUCUCUAGUACCAGAACAAGUGCAACAGGUGCCAGCUAUAUCUCUAAGUAUCAGAACAAGCGCAACAGGUGUCUCCGGAUUCCACCUCUCUUGCAGAACCAGUAGAGGAGCAAGUGCGACAAGAAUUGCUAGACUCCUCCAUUCGUGCAUCAAAACCCACAGUUGAACGAGUGCAGCAAGAUCAGUCACUACUUCCUAAUUUACAAGCAAAUGAACAAUCUAGAGUAUAUUUUAGUUCAUACUAGUUAAAAAAAUGUCUGCAUUUUAGUAAUUUUAUUGUUGAUAUUAUUGUAGGCCCUUCAACUAAUAAAAGAAAAAGAGGCGCUACACAAAUGCAAGCAGUACAUGGACGGACUAACCGUCAACUGAUAGUUCUAAAUGAGUUGAACCAGCCUAUUGGUCCAACUAAAGCGUGGUCACUGAAUUUUCCAGCUUUCUUGGCACAUUGGCAAGGAAUGAGACAUUUUGUCCUCUUAAUCUCACUUGAACAAAGUUGAAGACAUGCGAUGAAAUGUGGAGCUAUAUUCAGGAGAAAUAUGACAUUCCCAACAACGGGAAAGAUUGGGCUAUGAGUUCAAUUGAUGCAGCGUUUAGAGGGUUUAAGUCCAGACUAAGAAAGAUUACUUUUAUGCCUACACCAAUGAUGAAAUUCGAAGGGCAAAAAGGCCUACCUUUGUUCCAGAACCUAUAUUUGAGGAUCUCUUUAAGUAUUGGAAUUUAGAAUAAGUUGAGGAUACUUCCAAGACUAACGAAGAAAACAGGAAAAAAUUUAAGUAUCCACACACUAUGGGCAAAACAAGUUUUGCUUUAAUCUGCGAGGAAAAAAAGAAGGAAAAUUCUGGUGUUUUGUCAAAUAAGGAAUUCUUUGUGGCUACUAGAACAAGGAAACCGGAUCGAGUAUAUAAGGACACAUCUAAAGAGAUCAGAAACAAAAUAGUUGAAAUGGAGAGAGUAGAGACUCAGGAAAAUGAAGAUAGUAAUCAAUCAACUGAUGCAUUCACACCAGUUAUGGGGACUGAUCCUGGUCGAGUAAGACUACUCGGACGUGGUGUUAUCAAGACUCUUUUGAAACAGAAAGCAAGUGAUUCUGGAUCCUCUUCAAAACCUGAUGAACUGGUAGAGAAGAGAUUAGAUGAGCUAGAAGAGAUGAUGCAACAAAGAAUGAAUGCUCAAAGAGAUGUCAUUGAGCGAGAAGUUAUAAUGAACAUCAUUGCAUAGCUUCAGCGUCUAAAUCCAGGAUUAACACUUGAUCUUAAUAUGCUAGGAUUCAAUGUUCAUUCGUGAUACGAGUCAAAUGGCCACCUUAGCUUUCGAUGACAUCAUUUGAAGUCAGGACGUGGGGCAUCAAGCUUUGGUCACAUUGAGGAUACGGGAUCCUACAUGGAGGGGUCGAUUUGCGUACACCAAAGAGCAAUCCCACACGUGGAAGAUUGCUGGAGCAUUAAUAAUUGAGGACUCACGGUUUUGGGCCUUCAUUAUGGGCAUUUUGGUCACUUAGCCUUGUCCAAGUAACACUCUAUGACCACCUUUUUUCAUUAAGAGUAUUAUGGUUAUUUUGUUAUGUAAUAAGUUAGACUAUAAAUAGGUUCUAUUAGUUCAUUUGCUAGUUAGUUUUUAUGAAUGAUUAAAUAUUAAAAGUCCUCUCUUUGAGAGUAGAACACCUUAGUGUAGUCUUAGUUAGGGCUUGGAAAAACCAAUAUUGACAUUUGCUUAGAAACAGUGGUUCUUGAGGUGAGUUGAUUCCCUUAGCGGUCAUCGUAAGAAGAUUGGUGUUUGAUUAUUGCGACUUUGAGGGCCUCUUCAUUCAAUACAUGUGUUGGUUCUCAUUGUUUCGUAAGAUCUUAUGUCAUCUUGCUUAUUCCUUAUCUUAUUUCACUUUGUAUGUUUGUAUCAUGUCUUCUUUAUCUCAUGUAUUUGCGUUGUUGGUGUGA